GACGAACGCUGGCGGCGUGCUUAACACAUGCAAGUCGAACGGUAAGGCCCUUCGGGGUACACGAGUGGCGAACGGGUGAGUAACACGUGGGUGAUCUGCCCUGCACUUCGGGAUAAGCCUGGGAAACUGGGUCUAAUACCGGAUAGGACUCCUGGCUUCAUGGUUGGGGGUGGAAAGCUUUUGCGGUGUGGAAUGGGCCCGCGGCCUAUCAGCUUGUUGGUGGGGUAAUGGCCUACCAAGGCGACGACGGGUAGCCGGCCUGAGAGGGUGACCGGUCACACUGGGACUGAGAUACGGCCCAGGCUCCUACGGGAGGCAGCAGUGGGGAAUAUUGCGCAAUGGGCGCAAGCCUGAUGCAGCGACGCCGCGUGAGGGAUGACGGCCUUCGGGUUGUAAACCUCUUUCAGCUAUGACGAAGCGCAAGUGACGGUAGUAGCAGAAGAAGGACCGGCCAACUACGUGCCAGCCGCCGCAGUAA
rnacentral:rRNA from 1 species